CGCGUGAGGAACCUGCCUCAAAGAGGGGGACAACAGUUGGAAACGACUGCUAAUACCGCAUAAGCCCACGGGUCAGCAUCGACCUGAGGGAAAAGGAGUGAUCCGCUUUGAGAUGGCCUCGCGUCCGAUUAGCUAGUUGGUGAGGUAAUGGCCCACCAAGGCGACGAUCGGUAGCCGGACUGAGAGGUUGAACGGCCACAUUGGGACUGAGACACGGCCCAGACUCCUACGGGAGGCAGCAGUGGGGAAUAUUGCACAAUGGGGGAAACCCUGAUGCAGCGACGCCGCGUGGAGGAAGAAGGUCUUCGGAUUGUAAACUCCUGUUGUUGAGGAAGAUAAUGACGGUACUCAACAAGGAAGUGACGGCUAACUACGUGCCAGCAGCCGCGGUAAAACGUAGGUCACAAGCGUUGUCCGGAAUUACUGGGUGUAAAGGGAGCGCAGGCGGGAAGACAAGUUGGAAGUGAAAUCUAUGGGCUCAACCCAUAAACUGCUUUCAAAACUGUUUUUCUUGAGUAGUGCAGAGGUAGGCGGAAUUCCCGGUGUAGCGGUGGAAUGCGUAGAUAUCGGGAGGAACACCAGUGGCGAAGGCGGCCUACUGGGCACC
rnacentral:rRNA from 1 species